UGGGGAAUUGUUCACAAUGGGCGCAAGCCUGAUGACGCAACGCCGCGUGGGGGAUGAAGGUCUUCGGAUUGUAAACCCCUGUCGAAUGGGACGAAAGACUCGCGAUCUAACAUGUCGCGAGAUUGACGGUACCGUUAAAGGAAGCCACGGCUAACUCUGUGCCAGCAGCCGCGGUAAUACAGAGGUGGCAAGCGUUGUUCGGAAUUACUGGGCGUAAAGGGCGCGUAGGCGGCCAUCUAAGUCAGACGUGAAAUCCCCCGGCUUAACCUGGGAACUGCGUCUGAUACUGGACGGCUCGAGUAUGGGAGAGGGAUGUAGAAUUCCAGGUGUAGCGGUGAAAUGCGUAGAUAUCUGGAGGAAUACCGGUGGCGAAGGCGGCAUCCUGGACCAUUUACUGACGCUGAGGCGCGAAAGCUAGGGGAGCAAACGGG
rnacentral:rRNA from 1 species